rnacentral:tRNA from 1 species
GCUCCGGUAGUGUAGUCCGGUCAAGCAUGUCGGCCUCUCACGUCGACGACGUGGGUUCGAAUCCCGCCCGGAGCA